CGCUCUGCCGCGCGAGGAAGUGGCGUUGUUUGAGCGACGGGACUGUCUGCGUUUUGUCUCGUGGAUAGAUCCGUGGAUAGAAUAUUUUCCAUAUUUUCGUGGUUUUGGUGCCGGGAGGAGAAAGUGGGUUGAGGUUUCGAUUUCGCAAGUGUCGCUCGGUGAAACAAUAUCGAGGAAUGGCUGCUGAGGUAAACGGCAGCUCUGCACCAGCGAAGGAGGAGGAGGAGCCCAUGGACGUCUCUGCUGCACACUCGGAGAACUACCAGACGCUCAUCGAUGCUGGGCUGUCUCAGAAAGUAGCAGAAAGCCUGGACAACAUAUUUCAGACUGGUCUGGUGGCUUAUGCUGACCUGGACGAGAGGGCAAUCGAUGCCCUACGGGAGUUCAACGAAGAAGGGGCGCUCUCUGUACUGCAGCAGUUUAAAGAGAGUGAUCUGUCCCAUGUGCAAAAUAAGAGUGCUUUCUUGUGUGGUGUCAUGAAGACGUACAGACAACGAGAAAAACAAGGCAGCAAAAUACAGGAGUCUACAAAAGGGCCUGACGAGUCAAAGAUAAAGGCUCUGUUGGAGAGGACAGGCUAUACCCUGGAUGUCACCACAGGCCAGAGGAAGUACGGCGGCCCGCCCCCAGAGGAGGUGUUCUCGGGCACACAACCUGGCAUAGGCACAGAGGUGUUUGUAGGAAAGAUUCCCCGGGACUUGUAUGAAGACGAAUUGGUUCCACUGUUUGAGAAGGCUGGGCCAAUAUGGGACCUGAGGUUAAUGAUGGACCCGCUUUCAGGGCAGAACCGUGGCUACGCCUUCAUCACAUUCUGCAGCAAAGAAGCUGCACAAGAGGCUGUCAAACUGUGUGAUAAUUAUGAGAUCAGGCCAGGGAAGUAUUUGGGUGUCUGCAUCUCUGUGGCCAACAACCGCCUAUUUGUGGGCUCAAUUCCAAAGAACAAGACCAGGGAGAGCAUUCUGGAAGAUUUUGGGAAAGUCACAGAGGGUCUGCAGGAGGUUAUUCUGUACACGCAGGCAGACGAUAAAAAGAAGAACCGUGGUUUCUGCUUUCUGGAGUACGAAGACCACAAGUCGGCUGCACAGGCCCGCCGCAGGCUCAUGAGCGGCAAGGUGAAGGUGUGGGGGAACCCCGUCACCGUAGAGUGGGCCGAUCCGGUCGCCGAACCCGACCCCGAGGUCAUGGCCAAGGUGAAGGUGUUGUUUGUUCGUAAGCUAGCCACUCCUGUGACAGAGGAGUUAUUGGAGAAGACUUUCUCCCAGUUUGGUAAGCUGGAGCGAGUGAAGAAGCUGAAGGACUACGCCUUUGUGCACUUUGAGGAGCGAGAUGCUGCUGUAAAGGCUAUGGAGGAGAUGAAUGGAAAAGAGCUGGGAGGAGAAGAGAUCGAGAUCGUUCUGGCCAAACCUCCAGAUAAGAAGAGGAAAGAGCGGCAAGCUGCCCGACAGACCAGCAGAAACUCUGGGUAUGAUGACUAUUACUACUACCCCCCACCCCGCAUGCCCCCCCCCGGGCGUGGGCGUGGCCGAGGCGGCAGGGGCGGCUAUGCAUACCCUCCCGAUUACUAUGGUUAUGAAGAAUACUACGAUGACUACUACGGCUAUGAUUACCAUGACUACCGUGGUGGCUAUGACGAUCCUUACUAUGGUUAUGACGAUGUGUAUUCUAUGAGGGGGCGUGGCAGUCGUGGUAGCCGUGGUGUCCCACCCCCUCCUAGAGCACGUGGCGUACCUCCAGCCCGUGGCAGAGGUGGAUAUGCACCAAGGGGAGCUCCCAUGGGCGCCGGGCGAGGAGGGCGUGGUGGGGGCCGCGGUGGACCCUUCCAGCCUCCAAGGGGGCGUGGCACUAGGGGAGCCCGGGGCAACCGCGGUGGGAACGUUGGUGGGAAGAGGAAGGCCGAUGUGUUCAACCAGCCAGAUUCUAAACGCCGCCAGACGACCAACCAGCAACAGAACUGGGGGUCACAGCCCAUCGCCCAGCAACCAUUACAGCAGGGUGGUGACUACUCUGGUAACUACGGUUACAGCAACGACACCCUGGAGUUCUCACAGGAUUCCUAUGGCCAGCAGUGGAAGUAGACGACACAAACAACAACAUAAAAGAAUAUGUCAGUGAUACAAUAAGGACACGCCCCAGAAUUGGCAUCACAAAUCCUGAUUGGCUGAAAGUAUCGGAGCGAGAGAGAGACGUUGAGGAACACACCAGAACUGUGUUCUUCUCCAGGGGGUGAGCUGGUCUUUCACACGCCUCUGUCUCACCCUCUCUUUCUCUCUUCUUUCCUGGCCUGUACUGUGGUGAAAGAAUCUGAUAUGGGUCAAAUAAAACAACUCAAACCAAACAGUACACUUUUGCUCAUUGCAGCCAUCUAAAGAUUUAACAGCAAAUGUUGGAACAGUGCCAAGUAAGUAAUUUUGAAGCCUAGUGGUUCUUAUUGAUUUUGGACGUGUUCAAAGGUAAAUCAUGGACACAGUGAAAAUUAGUAAAAAAAACUAGCUAUACACUCAUCUUCCUUUUAAAUACCCCCUACAUAACACAUACAGAAGGACCCUUUUCUGAUUUCAGACUUGCCUUCUACUCAUCAUAAUCUGUAUCUGUAUUGAUCAGUCUAAUGAUUGAUGUAGAGUAAUGGAGCACAUCUGCUUUGUUGUUAGAUUAUGAUUAUGUUGGUUAACUUGCUUACUUUUUUGAUUGCUACUUCGGUAGAUUUUGAAAUGUUUCCCAGUUUUUUUCUGUUGCAUGUGAUGUGAAAAUCCUCCAUGAAUGUUGAGGGGUUCUGUUAUUGUUGAUAAAGGACAGCAACCUUGGCCAGUGGGACCUGCACCACAGCCUAACAUUCCACAUGGAUCAGAGUUGAGAGCAGAUCCCUCACCAAAGACAAGAGCACCCCACUAACCUGCUCUCCUUCCUGGGCUGCGGUCAUUGUCAACUGAAGGGUAGGAACAAGGCUCUGCUGGAGCAGACACAGCAGGCGAGGAGUAGGAGCAGGCUCUGACGCGCAUCUCGCCAGCCUACGGGCAACAGACGUCCACCAUGCCACACCAACACAGUCCAUUAUGAAGGCACAAGUGUAUUAACCAGUGUCUGCCAUAGGGCCAGUUUGAUGUAAUUCUCUUAAAUGUUAUAUAAAUGACGUUUUGCAUUAAA